rnacentral:rRNA from 1 species
UACGAAGGGUGCAAACGUUGCUCGGAAUUAUUGGGCGUAAAGCGCACGUAGGCGGCUUUGCAAGUCGGAUGUGAAAUCCCUCGGCUUAACCAAGGAAGUGCAUCCGAAACUGCAGAGCUUGAGUACUUAAGAGGAUCGCGGAAUUCCCGGUGUAGAGGUGAAAUUCGUAGAUAUCGGGAAGAACCACCAGUGGCGAAGGCGCUC